GAAACAACUCUUCUCCGGGCAACUGUAAAAGAGCUCGGGAAAGGGGGGCGCAGUCACAUGACGGAGCGGCCCCUGUGGCCGUUUGGAGCCGCGCGCCGCUCUCCCCUCACACGCCCCCUUCCCGCGUUUUUUUUUUUGUUAUUUUCGCCUCAGAAGCGUGAGGAGAGAAGACGAAGGGAAGCGGCGCGACCGGGAGCGCACAGGACACCGGUUCCGGGGUAAUACAGGAUCUAACUUUUACAGCAUUUUACGGCCACACAGAAAGAUGUGCUUAUGCUCAGCUACCAACCAAAAACUCCAAUAUAUGUUCAGUAACAAAACUUGGAGACAAAACAUUGGAUAAAGUAGAGGAUCUUUUAAACAAGAAUUUACAACCCUCGCCAAGUUUGUUAUCUUGAUAACACCGUUGCCGAAAAAGGGGAAAUAAAUUAUGACUUACCUGGUGAAAAGUGGAGGUGAUCUACAACAGGUCAGUGAAGAGGAAAUACGUGCUCGUACUAGUCUGGUUUUUGCCUACAUUGUUGGAUCAUUUCCAGCAAGGCUUUUAUAGUUUGGAAAUAAGCUGCUGUUCUGAGUAACAAAGUUUGUCGACCAAAUUUGCACAGGCAGAACCAGUAUUUCUGGCUUUUUGUGACUAUAAAUUCACAUAUUACUAUAGUUUGUUUCAGUUCUGACUGAUUUGGCAAACACGGAAGGCAUCCAUGUGAACAAACAGCCAAUCUGCUCCCGUGUGUGUUUUGUAUUCUUUGAGAACAGUUUGGUAUGCAGCUUUCUUCAACUUUAAAACCGCUGAUGUUUACAAGAAAUCACGCAAGGUGAGAUAAAGAUAAGAAACUGCUCUGAUUACAGUGCAGAAAUAUUCAGCACAAAGAGGACAAAAACAUAAUGAAAAACUUUAAACCUCUCUGAAAGGUUAACCAAAAUAACUUUAUCAGGAAGGUAAAAGUUAUGACUGGCAAACUGAAUUCCAAAACAGGUGUGGUGACCGCAGAAGAAAAAGUAGUGUGUAGCUGCCUAAGGGACUUAAGAAGUGAAUAUUGGAAGAAUAAAAAAUACAUGCAUUUACUAAAGACCAUUUCUACGUCUAGCUAAAAUAUUUAGAGAGCUAGUGUGAAGUUUCCCAUCUAUUUAUCCUAAAGACACUAAAGAGUGGUCAAUAUUUACUAGGUUCCAAUCCUCUGUGAUACUGAGCCCCGAAGACAUUAUUGAUGGCUGUACCUACCUAUUGACUAGGCCUCUUUUUAAAUAGCUUAAUAAAGGCAUUCUUUUGAUUGAAAGCAUCAAUCUUUAAUGCAACAAAGCUGAAAUCUGUAGUGAUCAGUGUGAACUUUCCAAGAGCACACCUAGGGUAGCAUCUGUAUACCUGUUAGUAAUAUACCAUAAACAGUUAUGGCCUUAACAGGUAGGGGUAUGUCUCCAUGAUAUUUUAGA